rnacentral:tRNA from 1 species
CGCGGAGUGGACCAGUAGUAGGUCGCCAGGCUCAUAACCUGGAGUGCGCCCGUGCAAUUCGGGCCUCCGCAA